ACCUGUGUUCGAAACAUAAGGAGAAUCUUUCGAAAUUAUCUUUCGAAAGAUAAGGAUCCUUCCCUGAUGUGAAUGAAGAAGGAGAGAAUCCUUCGAGUUCUUGAAUCUUUCGACAUCAUUGUUCGAGAUUGAACAGUAAUCUUUCGAGUACUGUUGAUCCUUCGAACAAGUGAUUGAUCUUUCGAUUGUGGACAGUUUAUUGUUAACAAGUUUCUGUGAUUUCAGAUCUUUCGGAACAGGAUCUUUCGGCCGUGAUAUCUUUCGGUUUACUCACUUAGCAUUUAUUUUGCUUAUCUAUCAUGAAUCCGAGUUGGUGGAAUCCG
rnacentral:lncRNA from 1 species